AACUUCAAAUUAAUCAGAAAUACCGAGUACUUUUUUAGAGUAGAAUUUACAUAACUUGCCUUUAUACUUUACUUGCGGUUCUUUACGCGUCACUAAAUUUACUUCAUUUACAACUUGACUGUUUUUUUUUAGUACCCUACGACUGAGCUAGGGGAAUUAAGUGGAUUAUCUAAAGCCGGGUGGUGUGCGCACUCCGAUUGCGUUGCAUUGUGGUAGCUUCAUUUUCAAUAUGGCGGUGAGAGCAGCAAAAAUUGGCAGAUUUUGACUGAACAUUCCGUAAACUUUAGGCCGUUCUUUUUUCCUUUCACCAUGAGUAAAUGUAAUUUGAUUUGUUCUGAAUGUGUAAAAGUAUUUUUUGUACGUAAUUGUCGCGCAUUCUACAGUUCCUAAGGACAAACGCAAUCACUGUUUUUCAGUAAGUAAUUUGAGACCGGUUUUCGAAAAGGUCAAAUUUGAUGUACGUCGUAGUUUGGAGCCUUUCAAAGAUUUGGAUGGCCACUUUGAUCCUUCUUCAACAGCUCUGACCAAACGCUCUCAAAAGGUACAUGCGUUUCUCGCAUUUUAAUUGAUAAUGUUUGAGACCAAUUAUGGCCGAGAACAGGCCUAUUGUUGCGUUACAUAGCGUUACUAUCGUAUACUCAAUUGUGUUGUAAAUCUACUUUCCAAGGUAAAAGGAAAUUUAUUAAUGGCGAGUGUUGUAUGGUAAAUCUACUCUCUUGAUCACUGAAUGAAGGACAGAUGAAUAAGAGCAACGAAAGAAGUCACUCGCCAAUAAAUAACAGUCCACAAUGCACACGGCGACACAACGGAUAAGCCGGAAAUCAGAAGGAACGGAAAUCGAAAAAAAAGAAGAAGAGCAAAGAAUGAUUUAUCUUGCUAAGGACAUGAAGGAGAUGACACUAAGUCAUAACAAGAAAAGGAAGAGGAAAAAGGAGUAAGUAAUGAAGAAGAAACAUUGGAAAAUGGAGAUAAAGGAGGGAAUGGAGGAAUACCAGCUGGAGUAGUAGAAAAAGAACAUGAGGAAAUGAAAGGAGAGAGAGAAAUUAAAGAAAAAGAACAAGGUACACAGAAAAAAAGGAGGGACAGGAGGACAACAGCCAAAAGAAAGAAGGCAAAAAAGGACCCUUCAACAUAAGAGAAAUUUGGAUUGUGAUGGCACCUGGAAUUGAGAACGACGAAAAUGGCAGACUUCAUAUUAGUUAAUUUAUUAUUCACCUCCUCAACUUGUAUUAAUUUCAUGAACAGGUCAUAAAAUGUUCAAUUCAGUUAAAAAAAAAAAAUGAACUAGCAUUUUUAUAAUGUCUAAUUGUACAGCCCAAAAUGUCUUCCUUGUGUUUUUUUGUCAUGACUGCCAAUUAAAGAUAUGGCUUUUGCAGUCUAUGAAGAGGGCUAGGUCAAGCCUUUUAAAAACCAGGGUUAGAUCAACAAGCAUUGAUUAUUUUGUUAAAAGUGAACUGUUGCAGUUGUUUAAUGGCUUUUUGGUGGAUCUAUUAACACAUUAAUAACUGGAUUGAACAUUUUAAGACCUGUUAAUAGUGGAAACUUCUUUGCUCUCAACUAUCAAACUAAUUCCUGAAAAUUACUCACUUUUAAAAAAAUUGGCAAAUCUGUCUUCAUCUAGCAAACAUUUAACCAAUCUGGAUUCACAAAUACAUUUCUCUCACUGGUAUCAAUAAUAUUGCGGUGUGAUUGUGUUAUGCAAUAUCUGAAUAGAAUGAGUGAAACAAACACAGUUUGAACUGUAUGUUUAUUUUAUAUUUAAAAAUUUAGCUUCUUUUAACAAUUACAGUAGCCCGCCACACUUUCUUAAUUUCGUGAAAUGUCGUCAAUCAACCAUGGUAUCUGAUAACUGAUGCAUAUGUUCAGUAUAGUUAAUAUUAUUCUUCUUAAUAUUUGAUUGCAAGGGAUGAACAUACAUUUUUUUCAGACUUUUGUUUGUCAUAUUCUCCAAAAGAUUUUCAUAUUUCAUUAGAGUUCUGUUCCUUUUCCUCGUUACAGAAGACCAAUUAAAAUAGAAACACGAAAGUGUAUUGAGCUUAUAUAAUAAAAAUAGAAUGUGUGUAUUGUUGCA
rnacentral:misc_RNA from 1 species